GAGGAAGAGAAGCAACAAGAGAACAAGGAGAAGAAGACGUCAGGCAUCAGCCACGCAGUCAGCCAGACACAGAGUAAGAAGGAAAGCAGAUGCCGCGGCAUGCACGUGGAGAAAGAAAGGAGGACAACUUUUAAAUUGUAGCUGUUUGGAGGGUACCGUGACAAGACGACAACACAUUUACUAGCACUUACUGAGAGGCCACAGGAACGGAUGCUGCGGAGGCCAAGGUGACAAGUGUUAUCCCUUCUGACCUCAAGAAGACAGAGGAUGCAUACAACUCUGUGUCCCUGCACUACUCAUUGCUGAUCACGGAACACAGCUUCAGACUCCAUCCUUCUUGUCUAGAUGCUUCUUGGUUGGCAAUUAGCGCUUCCCGUGCUUUGCUAAGAUGGCUGGAGGACCGGGUGCUCCAGGACAUGCUGCUGAGUUUCCUGAUCCUCUGGAAUUAUCUUUUGCACAGUCUAGCUGCCCUGUGCCUCGUCACAACUGGUGGCUGCCUAACAGGUAGGACUUUGCCUGGGUGAGAGGAUUCUGGCCUGGGAAGGCAGCUGAUUUCCAAGACAUGCACAACAAAACAAAA